GAUGAACGCUGGCGGCGUGCUUAACACAUGCAAGUCGAACGAUGAAGCCCAGCUUGCCGGGUGGAUUAGUGGCGAACGGGUGAGUAACACGUGAGUAACCUGCCCUUAACUCUGGGAUAAGCCUGGGAAACCGGGUCUAAUACCGGAUAGGAGCGUCCACCGCAUGGUGGGUGUUGGAAAGAUUUAUCGGUUUUGGAUGGACUCGCGGCCUAUCAGCUUGUUGGUGAGGUAAUGGCUCACCAAGGCGACGACGGGUAGCCGGCCUGAGAGGGUGACCGGCCACACUGGGACUGAGACACGGCCCAGACUCCUACGGGAGGCAGCAGUGGGGAAUAUUGCACAAUGGGCGCAAGCCUGAUGCAGCGACGCCGCGUGAGGGAUGACGGCCUUCGGGUUGUAAACCUCUUUCAGUAGGGAAGAAGCGAAAGUGACGGUACCUGCAGAAGAAGCACCGGCUAACUACGUG
rnacentral:rRNA from 1 species